GGCCGGCUGUGGGACCCCCCUCAGCCCCAGCUGGGGACCCGGGACGCUCUGGCACCCAGGCUCGGGCUCUGCAUCCGCCCUCGGCCUCUUCCAGGUGAACAGACCCCGGGUUUCUGCCCAGCUAACGCGGAUGCUUGGCUCUCCCCUGCGACAUGAACACACGAGCAGGCGGGGCUGACAUGGCCGCUGUCACAGCACAGCCCAGCACCGAGACCUCCAGGCUCUGCUAUUUCAAGCUUACCUGCAGAUUCUGCUGAAUGCGAGCAGGAGUGACACUCUUGGGAAUGACAACCACUUUACGCUGCACUUGCCAUCUGCAAGAGGAGGUUCAACUAGCUUACUUACUUUACUCAUCACAAGCUAAAAACCAAGAUUGCUUCCUGUGGAAAGAGCGUGGGAAAAUAAUCAGAAGAUUGCCCAAACCUCUGCACUGGAGUUUCUAGGCUAUGGAAGGAACACACUAAGAACAGAGAGCCCUGGACCCUGUGCUGGAAGGGUAAGAACCAGAAACAAAACAAUGGAGAACUGGUUAUCUAGAGAGCAUAAAAUACAAAAGGGAGAUCACAUUGGGCAAAAAGCACAGAAUUGCAUCAGAAAGGACACUUCUCACUGUCUCAUGUCUGAUAAAACU